GUGAGGAAUUUUCCGCAAUGGGCGAAAGCCUGACGGAGCAAUGCCGCGUGAAGGAUGAAGGCCUAUGGGUUGUAAACUUCUUUUCUCAGAAAAGAAUUAUGACGGUAUCUGAGGAAUAAGCAUCGGCUAACUCUGUGCCAGCAGCCGCGGUAAGACAGAGGAUGCAAGCGUUAUCCGGAAUGAUUGGGCGUAAAGCGUCUGUAGGUUGUUUAAAAAGUAUUCUGUCAAAGAUUAGGGCUUAACCCUAGAUAGGCAGAAUAAACUUUUAAGCUAGAGGUUGGUAGAGGCAGAGGGAAUUCCCGGUGGAGCGGUGAAAUGCGUAGAUAUCGGGAGGAACACCAAAGGCGAAGGCACUCUGCUGGGCCAAUACUAACACUGAGAGACGAAAGCGAGGGGAGCAAAUGGGAUUAGAAACCCUGUUAGUCC
rnacentral:rRNA from 1 species